CCCUGCGUAGCUUAAUGGCGGAGCACAUGGCUGUAGCCCGUGAGGUUCCCGGUUCGAAUCCGGGCGCAGGGA
rnacentral:tRNA from 1 species